GGGUCAGUAGGUUGGUCGUGCCACCGGUACGUACUGGUCUCACUGAUUCCUCCUUCCUGAAGAACCGUAAUGCCAUUAAUUUGGUGUUGCGGGGAAACAGGACUGUUACUUUGAAAAAAUUAGAGUGUUUAAAGCAAGCUAACGCUCGAAUACAUUAGCAUGGAAUAAUGAAAUAGGGCGAUCGAUCCUAUUAUGUUGGUUUCUAGGAUUGACGUA
rnacentral:rRNA from 1 species